UACAGAGGGUGCAAGCGUUAAUCGGAAUUACUGGGCGUAAAGCGCGCGUAGGCGGCCAACUAAGUCGGACGUGAAAUCCCCAGGCUCAACCUGGGAACUGCGUCUGAUACUGGAUGGCUUGAAUCCGGGAGAGGGAUGCAGAAUUCCAGGUGUAGCGGUGAAAUGCGUAGAUAUCUGGAGGAAUACCGGUGGCGAAGGCG
rnacentral:rRNA from 1 species